CUCUCUCUCCUUUCUCAGACUCUCUCUCUCUCUCUCUCUCUCUCUCUCUCUCUCUCUCUCUCUCUUUCAUUCUUCUUGUACGGACAAACACCAAGGACCUCUCAAACCUCACUGAUCGAGGAAGAAAAUGGUACCAUUGUGUUUGUGAAGCCCAGACGAGUCGAUUGGUACCCAUUUCAGCUUGUAGGAAGCUCGGAGUGCUUCGUUUGAAGGUUUUAGAAGUCAGGAUAGUGUGGACGAAGUUUGGCCGAUUUUCUUGGAAUUCUCCGAUGAGACUUAUCAGGAGGACGAGCGUAUCCAGGGGCAACUCGGGGGUUACGACCAGUCGACAUAUCAGUUUUAAGUAAGCUUGCUGUUGGUGGCUUGAGGAUAUCGGCAGUUCCGAUUUAUCCAAAUAAUAGUAGGACAUUCUCGGUACUGUAUAACUAGUACUUGUCCUACUGGACUGCACCUAGACUUUAUGCUCUGAUUAAGAGU